UAUUGGUCAAUGGGCGCGAGCCUGAACCAGCCAAGUAGCGUGAAGGAUGACUGUCCUAUGGGUUGUAAACUUCUUUUAUAUGGGAAUAAAGUUUUCUACGUGUGGAAUUUUGUAUGUACCAUAUGAAUAAGGAUCGGCUAACUCCGUGCCAGCAGCCGCGGUAAUACGGAGGAUCCGAGCGUUAUCCGGAUUUAUUGGGUUUAAAGGGAGCGUAGGUGGAUUGUUAAGUCAGUUGUGGAAGUUUGCUGCUCAACCGUAAAAUUGCAGUUGAAACUGACAGUCUUGAGUACAGUAGAGGUGAGCGGAAUUCGUGGUGUAGCGGUGAAAUGCUUAGAUAUCACGAAGAACUCCGAUGGCGAAGGCAGCUCACUAGACUGCAACUGACACUGAUGCUCGAAAGUGUGGGUAUCAAAC
rnacentral:rRNA from 1 species